GAACGGUAACAGGUCUUCGGAUGCUGACGAGUGGCGAACGGGUGAGUAAUACAUCGGAACGUGCCCGAGAGUGGGGGAUAACGAAGCGAAAGCUUUGCUAAUACCGCAUACGAUCUCAGGAUGAAAGCAGGGGACCGCAAGGCCUUGCGCUCACGGAGCGGCCGAUGGCAGAUUAGGUAGUUGGUGGGAUAAAAGCUUACCAAGCCGACGAUCUGUAGCUGGUCUGAGAGGACGACCAGCCACACUGGGACUGAGACACGGCCCAGACUCCUACGGGAGGCAGCAGUGGGGAAUUUUGGACAAUGGGCGCAAGCCUGAUCCAGCCAUGCCGCGUGCAGGAUGAAGGCCUUCGGGUUGUAAACUGCUUUUGUACGGAACGAAAAGACUCUGGUUAAUACCUGGGGUCCAUGACGGUACCGUAAGAAUAAGCACCGGCUAACUACGUGCCAGCAGCCGCGGUAAUACGUAGGGUGCGAGCGUUAAUCGGAAUUACUGGGCGUAAAGCGUGCGCAGGCGGUUAUGUAAGACAGAUGUGAAAUCCCCGGGCUCAACCUGGGAACUGCAUUUGUGACUGCAUAGCUAGAGUACGGCAGAGGGGGAUGGAAUUCCGCGUGUAGCAGUGAAA
rnacentral:rRNA from 1 species